rnacentral:rRNA from 1 species
AAUGAACGCUGGCGGCAGGCCUAACACAUGCAAGUCGAACGGAUCCUUCGGGAUUAGUGGCGGACGGGUGAGUAACGCGUGGGAACAUACCCUUUGGUACGGAAUAGCCUCGGGAAACUGGGAGUAAUACCGUAUGUGGUCGAGAGACGAAAGAUUUAUCGCCAAAGGAUUGGCCCGCGUUGGGUUAGGUAGUUGGUGGGGUAAUGGCCUACCAAGCCGACGAUCCAUAGCUGGUUUGAGAGGAUGAUCAGCACACUGGGACUGAGACACGGCCCAGACUCCUACGGGAGGCAGCAGUGGGGAAUCUUAGACAAUGGGGGAAACCCUGAUCUAGCCAUGCCGCGUGAUCGAUGAAGGCCUUAGGGUUGUAAAGAUCUUUCAGGUGGGAAGAUAAUGACUGUACCACCAGAAGAAGCCCCGGCUAACUCCGUGCCAGCCGCCGCUGUAA